AACGAACGCUGGCGGCAGGCUUAACACAUGCAAGUCGAACGGGUGUAGCAAUACAUCAGUGGCAGACGGGUGAGUAACACGUGGGAACCUUCCUAGGGGUACGGAACAACUCAGGGAAACUUGAGCUAAUACCGUAUACGUCCGUGAGGAGAAAGAUUUAUCGCCCUUAGACGGGCCCGCGUCGGAUUAGGUAGUUAGUGGGGUAACGGCCUACCAAGCCUACGAUCCGUAGCUGAUCUUAGAGGAUGAUCAGCCACACUGGGACUGAGACACGGCCCAGACUCCUACGGGAGGCAGCAGUGGGGGAUCUUGGACAAUGGGCGCAAGCCUGAUCCAGCCAUGCCGCGUGAGUGAAGAAGGCCUUAGGGUUGUAAAGCUCUUUUACCAGGGACGAUAAUGACGGUACCUGGAGAAUAAGCCCCGGCAAACUUCGUGCCAGCCGCCGCGGUAACAC
rnacentral:rRNA from 1 species